AUACGGGGGGUGCAAGCGUUGUCCGGAAUCAUUGGGCGUAAAGGGUUCGUAGGUGGAAUUAUAAGUCUGGUGUGAAAGCCCACAGCUCAACUGUGGAACUGCACUGGAUACUGUUUUUCUUGAGUUAUAGAGGGGUUUGUGGAAUUUCUGGUGUAGAGGUGAAAUUUGUAGAGAUCAGAAAGAACACCGGUGGCGAAGGCGACAAACUGGCUAUUAACUGACACUGAGGAACGAAAGCGUGGGGAGCGAACAGGAUUAGAUACCCUAGUAGUCC
rnacentral:rRNA from 1 species